rnacentral:misc_RNA from 1 species
GUUUCCGUAGGUGAACCUGCAGAAAGAUCAUUGUCGAGAUCCUGGACGACCCGCAAACUUGUUCACACGAUGACCCGCGACGUUGGGGCACGCUGACGACCCCGACAACGAACCCUAAUGUGAGACGCGCCAAGGAGAACCCCAACGAGAUGGCAUGCCCCUGGUGCCCGUUCACGGGCAACGCGGGGCAGUGGCUUCUUUUGUGAAUCGAAAUGACUCUUGGCAACAGAUUCUCGACUCUUGCAUCGAUGAAGAGCAUAGUGAAAUGUGAUACUUGGUGUGAAUUGCAGAAUCCUGUGAACCAUCGAGUCUUUGAAUGUAAGUUGUGCCCAAGGCCAUUAGGCCUAGAGUACCGUUGCCUAGGCGUCUCGCAACGCGUCGCCCCCCAACCCCCGCCCGUGGGCGCAAGGUGGGGGGGCGGAGAUUGUUCCCCCGUGAGUGGCAGCUCACGGUCGGUCUAAAACCCGAGUCGUCGGCGACGGACAGCACGACGAGUGGCAAAUCAUGACGUGCGCUCGUGACAGGGCAUGCCUCGCGUCGUGCCAUGCCAGUCGCCAGGGCGAUCUGGCACGACCUUGUAGCGGCAAGACAUCGACCGCGACCCCAGAUCAGACG